AAAAAAGGUUUCUUUUUUCUCUUUUCCUUCUUCUUCCUCCAACCGCCCUCUGCUACUGUCGCCAUUCUCCGUUGUCGACCGCAGCAGCUUUUUCGUCGGUCGUUUCUCCGUUUGUUGACAAGGUGCUUAGCCGAUUCUUCUCCGUCCGCCGCUCGACCCAACGUAGAUCACUCGUCCCAGUCGUGCAAGCUCCUCUUCCGCGCUGCCUAGUCGAAGCUCGACCUCUAACGCUAGCAGCUGCGCCUCCUCCGCCGCUCGGUCGUGGUCCUCCCAACAUGAUCAUCCUCAUCGUCAACCGCGCCGCCGUCAACCGUGGGUUUUCCAGCCGCGUUGGGUUUUUCCCUUCCUAGCGUUGUUCUCUGUCUGCCUUUGUCUUCAGCGCUGGUAGCGGUCGGUUCGCAGCAGUCCGAUCGAGCGAUCUGUUGGGGCAACGUGUGUCGGUGAAGGAAGUCCUCGAGCAGAGUAGGGUCUUGUUUUGGGACAGUGCGUUAUCCUGAGGUAAAAGUAAUGACAGACUGGUGCAUGACAAGAAAGAUCCGUGACCUGGCCAUUAGGACAAUUUACUGCUUCCGCAUAUAGUAUUAUGUUUUGAAAUAUGGUUUAGAAGUUAGGCAUCUUUCACUUUUAUGCAAAAUAUAUCAAUUUUAUUAUUUGACUAUUUAAUUUCAAUAAUUUGUUUUUAGUAGGAUUAGGGGUACCCCAACUAGUAAAUUAUUUUAUUUUUAUUUUGCUUUAGUUUAUUUAUUAUUAUUUAAUUAUGUUUUCCCAUUUGUGCUCGUUUGAGCA